rnacentral:lncRNA from 1 species
GGGCUGCACUAGUUGCAGGAGCUGGUCUUGGACCCGAACCGGAUCAAGAUCCUUCUUUGGUCAGGCUGUCCUGCUGGAGCUGCACCUGGUAGAGAACCGCCUCCGGGAGUUCAACCACCUCUUACCAAAAUGAGGAGGCUUUUCCUGGGCAUGAACAAACUACAGGGGGCAAGGCAAACCCUCCAUAGGCCGGUGGUGGUACACCUCUCCAGGCUGAAGGUUCUGGAUGAAGUGAUGGUCACCCUGGAGGAGAGGACCAGGGCUGAGCUACUCUGCACAGAGGCCCAGAUGAGAAACAAAACUGCCAACCACGCCCACAUUGCCCAGGCAGUGAGGACCUUCAGGCAGAUCAGAAGAAUGGCAAGCACCCUGCCAACCACCGGCCUCCUGCCGAACGGGUACAGGGCCCUUAUCACCUACCCCAACCAAUAG